rnacentral:lncRNA from 1 species
UUGCUUGUGUAAAAGGGAUGUAAAAAUAUUAUAUUGUAAUAUUUUUACAUGAAAAUUUGCUGCUUUCAAAAACUAAUUGGGUAGCUUUUGUAGAGAGAAAAAGUAAGAGAGAGAGAGGGCACAGAAACAGAGCAUAACCCUGCAAAGUUCUCUGUUUCUGUGCUUCGGUAAAAUUGUGAGAAGAUGAUACAAGAAAAAGGGCUGCAUUUUCAUUCAUGUUUGCAUGGCUUAGAUCAACCAAUUUACAAUCACAGAUCCUGUUUUUUCGUGCAAGUGAUGAUCUUGUACACAAACUCAAUUCCACCCUUAUCCGGCUACUACAUAAUUCGAGG